UCCAUAUAAUGCCAGUUUUCUUUCCGAAAAAACAACAAAAUCUCUAGAACCGUUCUCGGUUGAUUGUUGCAUCUUCUUCAGGUGAUCACAACAUGCCAUCUGCAGCAGCGCCUGCCGACUUGCAGACAUCCCAUCGCCUCAAGCAUCAGGCCGUCUUGCUGGCAUCCCAUCGACACAAACAUGACUGUACUCACCCAGGUUUUCAUACAAAAUCUAUCAUGUAACAGUACGAAAGGAAUAAGCAUCUCCAUCCAGGUAUUCCUAACUAUCUAUUUGAUGUUUCAGUUCAAUGGUGAAAUCUGCAAUGACAUGCAAAGCUUAGCGUGAGAUUCAAUCUACCAUUAGAGGAAAUGAAGUAACAAUCAAGGCAAGAGUAGCCAGACUAUGGGAUUCAAUAUUCAUUAGUAACGGUGAAUUAGUUUGUCUUCAUAUGAUCCUUAUUGAUCAAGAGGGGAACAUGAUGCAUGGAGUUAUCAGUAAGGUUUACACUGCGAAGUUCAAACCAUUAAUUCUAUAAGGCAAUGUGUAUACCAUUACAAACGAGAUCGAAGAUAAAGAAGACAUCCCAAAGCAUUGUUUCAACUUUUCAAGCAUAGAGGUGCUUUCUACAAGAAUGUUAUAGGAGUUGCAACACAUAUAAGACCAACUGAAGAAAGUAAAACAUCUUUUGGAAUCUCCAAAAUCCGUGAUAUUCUACUUCUGGUCGAGGAUCAAGAAGUCAUUAGAUUAUGGGAUGCUAAAUCUGAACUAAUUGAUACCAAGUCUACAGGCGAUGUCAUUAUAUUACAUCUACAACAGUCAAAAAAUAUGGAAGUAUGUCUUCUCU